AACGCACAUUGCGCCCCUUGGUAUUCCGAGGGGCAUGCCUGUUCGAGCGUCAUUGCAACCCCUCAAGCUCAGCUUGGUGUUGGGGCCUGCCGCGCUGGCAGCCCUUAAAAUCAGUGGCGGUGCCAUCUGGCUCUAAGCGUAGUAACUUCUCUCGCUACAGGGUCCCGGUGAGCGCUUGCCAUCAACCCCAAUUUUUCUACGGUUGACCUCGGAUCAGGUAGGGAUACCCGCUGAACUUAA
rnacentral:misc_RNA from 1 species